rnacentral:misc_RNA from 1 species
UUCGGAUAUUGCUGUACUGUUUAUUAGGCUUAGUAUCCUUUGUUAUUUCUAUUAGGAAUAUCGGAAAAUCUGCUGGUUUAGUGGUAGAGCUCGGUGGGCUGUUUGCGAACUUAAAUUGAUAUAUAGAUAAUGAUUUCCAGUUCCACGCUAUUUAAUUGAAGUUGGAAAUUUCCAUAAAAAGAAGGAAACCAAGACAAAUAUUGACCAAUGAAAAUGGAUACUGAAACUUGUGCAAUUCACGAUUCAGUGGAGAAAACAAGAAAUAAUGGUGCUUACGGUGUUCCAGGAUUGUCAGAAAUAGAUCAAGGUGAUGAAUGUGAAGAAAUAAAACUUCUUGAUCCUUCCGAAUCUCGAACACAACAGACACAGACAAGUUUAGAAGACUCUGAGGGAAGUUGGAACUCUGAAUCUAAUGUGUCACAUUCUUCUACCUUAGAAAAAGAGCUACAUGAGGAUAGUGAUAUGGAUAGUGAAAACUCUGUGGAAUGUUUAGAGUCUGUUUCAUUUGUAGAUGAAUCAAUGGAACAUACCAUAGAUAGUAAGACAUUACCAAAGAAAGGUCGUAAGCCUCGGAGAAUUGAGUUCCUACCAGCACAUUUAGACUGUGAAUUAAUUGAUGCCUUUAGAGUUGUAAGUUAUUUAAUGUCUGAAUCAAAUAAAAAUAUCAACUGGCCUUUUCUUGAAGCUGUCAGAGACAAUGAUCCAAGUUGCCCUGACUACUAUGAAGUAAUAGUGAAGCCAGUGUGGUUAAGUAAAGUGAAAUUGCAGAUCCUUGAUGGACAAUACUCAACAAUAACAAAUGUUGUGAGGGAUUUACGACAGAUGUUUGCAAAUUGCUAUCUUUAUAACGGAGCCAGUCAUCCAAUUAGCAAGCGUGCAUUGAAGUUGGAGACAGUGUUGGAACAAAGAUUAGCUUUACUUCCUAAAGAGCUAAUAGAAAAAACAAGCUUGAAAGUAACAUCACCAGAGUUUGCUGAAGAAACUGUAGGGACAGUCAUACGAAGAAAAACACGUUAUAAUGGAGACCAUUCAAUGAUUUUAAGUCAUAUGAUGAAGGAAAGAAGCCUGAGAGCUAAAGAAGCCAAGCGUCGGCAGGUGGAUAUGAAGAGAGCAGAACAAGAAGCAGCUGUUCAAAAGGUGAUAAACUGGGAAUCAGAGCUGAUCCAAGAACAUAUUAACACAAUAAAUGCUAUGUGGGAGUUGCCACAAAUUGGUCAUUUUCUGUAUUUGACUCAAAGAAUUCUGAACAUUCCAGACGUCACACAGUAUGAAUUAGAACGUGCUUUUCUGAUACCGCAAGCAAGUAGUUUAAUGUGUGCUAUUAUGACAACAUUACUAAGUAACCCCCAAGAUCGUGCCAAGCUAGAUCAGAAAUCCAAAAUGCCAUAUAAAGUGUGGCACGAGAGGUUGAAAAUAAGAAUAAAUACCUUUUAUAAGGUGUUUACUCGAAAAAAUAAAAACCCUUUAAAGGUGUUUGAAACUCUAGGAGUAGAACCAGAUUUUUUUAAAGUAUUAGGACCUACAAAUCUUCUUGAGCACAAACCAUUCCAUAAGCUGAGUUUGCAGCAGAAGGUUUGGAUAGUAAAGUCUCUCUGUGAUUAUUGUCUGCACAGCCACAGUACGAUAACAGAGAGUUUGAACGAACUACCUGUAGAAGACCAGAAAGAGCAAGCACUAGGCAAAGAUAGAGAAGGUAACACGUACAUUUACUUUCCACAUUUCUGGGGUCAGGAGAUUAGGAUUUAUCGUACAGCUCCUUGGACAGAUCAAGCAAUUCCGAGUGAAACCAUCCCAGACUGGUGUGAUUAUCCUCAGUAUGAAAUGAAUGAAGAACAAGAACGGUUAGAAGACAUUGUUAAAGACGAAGUUCAUAAAAAGAAAGAAGAGCUUGGGGCUUCACCUUACAUCAAUAGUUGUACAAAAAAUUUUGAUGAUUACUCAAAGGACAAUGAAGAUGACAUGUAUAAUUGUGAAAAAGAAUUCUUGAAUUCAUACAAGGAUUGUGAUAAGUCUGCUUUAGAAGAGCAGUUUGAUAAUGAUGUACUGGAUUCAGUUUCCAGUAAAGCUAAGUGCAAACUGGAUAGUUAUUCAGGAGAUCUUUGUAAUGAUGAUGACAAAGGUGAUGACAGAUUAAAAUCUGAUCAUCUCUACUGCAAAGAUAUCAAACUGGAUGCAUCUGAAGAAAAGCAAAAGUCUUCUGGUAAAAAUAUAGUAGUCUGUGGGGAAGACCGGGAAACAGAUUUUAAGAGGCAGGAUUUCAAUACUAUCAUCAUGACUUCUGUUGGAUCAGAUUUGUCUGAAACUCAGAGAGAAACUGAAGAUCAAGAGAAUGAUAUCAGUUCUUCUGUUACAUUAGACCACAAUUUAAAUUACAUCACUGACACUAAUGACAUUAAUAACCAACAUAAAAAGGAACAAUCAAAAUGCAAGAUAGAACAAGAAUCAAAUAAAAUCAAUAAUACUUGUGUUUCUGAUUCAAGUAUACUAGAGAGUAAGGAUGAUAAAAUUUAUGACAGUCAAAAUUUUAGUAAUAAUAAUAAUAAACCAGUACAAAAUGAAAUAAGGAGCCAAUCAUUAGAAUUGCACACUUUCAAAGAUGAUAAACAGUCUCAAAAGGAAACUGAAACUGUUGAUCAAACUAACAAAAUUGGAGAUGAAACAGAAAACAGCAUUGAAAAUUUAUCAGGUUUUAUGAAAGAAAGGAUAGUGUUAAACAGUACGCCAUCUAGGAGAUCUUCUAGGAUAAAUGACAGGCGACUUCAAGCAUUGGCUGAAAGAGCACAGUCUUUUAUUACCACUAAAAAUCCUGAGAAAUCAGAAAAGAAAGAAGUAUGUGAACCAAAAAGUACAAAAGAAGAAGAGAAAGAACCUCAUAUAUAUAGCAUAGAGCCCAACAUUAAGAAAUUUGAACUAGUUGCACACAGUGUUGAUUGUUUGCGGAAGUUGCUCUCGAAUUUUGAAAAUAAUGAAUCCCAAAAAAAGGGCAAGGGCAAAAAUCGGAAAAAUAUCUGUGAAACUCACCUUUGUAAUCAACUACGUGCACUGUUAGCUGAAGUAGAGCCAUGGGAAACAAAAUUACAUCUGACUGAACGAAGAAUCAGAAUGCGCUUAAAAAAGGAAUGGGAAGAUUUUCAGAAACGAGCAUCUAAAAAUAAUGAGAUGCACCCUAAUGUUUGGAGUACUGAAUUUAAUGAACAAGAAGACAGUAGUGAAAGCUCCUCUGUCUCUGAAGAUGAAUCUACGGCCAUUAAAACAGGAAAGAGGGGGAAAAAUAAGCUGGAAUAUAUAUCUGAUUCUUAUGAAGUAUCUGUUAGUUCUAGAGGACGUAAGCGGAAAUUAAGGAGGCUGGACCUUCAUGAGGAUGUUCUUUGUGGUAAAGUCACAAAACCAAGGAAUCUGAGAAAGAUGGAAGAAAAUGGGGCGUGCAAAGAGAAGAUGAGCCCAUUUCAAGUUUCCGUCAGUUCCAGAGGUCGUGUAAGGAAGCUACGUUUGCCUUACUUGGAUGAGGAAAUUCUUACUGAAAAAAUGCCCAGGUUUUCUUUUCAAUCAAAAAAUGUUGAGCAGACCAAUCAGGAAAAUAUACAUAGAGCAGAAAAUGAAAGUGAUAAAAAUACAGAUUCUGUAAAGUCUACCACUAAAGAAGAUUCAAAAUCUAGUCAGAUAAAACUACAAGAACCUCAAACUAGCUUCAGUUGCUCUUUGUCUUUUCCAACUAAUAUUACUACAUUUAAAGGCAUUUUGGGUAAUUUAAAACCAAAUAUCAUCAGUAAGACCAGCCGGUCUAUCACAGAGGCAUAUAAUUCUAAUGAUAAAUUAUUAAAAUCAAAUAGUAAUAGAAUUACUUACACGAGUCCUUACAGUGCCAAUUCUUCUGCAUCUUGUUUCUUGUUGAACACCAUACCUGAAAAAAAUAAAAUGGUGAUUUCGUCAAGUGAAGCAAAGCAGACUGGUUCCCCAGUCAUGAGAACACAUCAGAGUUUGGAAUCUUCAGCAAAUGCAAUAAUAACUAGCUCCUCCUCUGUUUCCAGACAACCUAAGAAGUUUUUCAAGUCAAGAAAUUCUCCAUCUGAUUCAGAAACUUUGACACAUUCCAACAAAACAUCUUCUCAGCAAUCUAACAAUUCCAUCUUUAUGCUUGUACCAGUUGUGGAGCCUAAAAGCGGGAAAAUGUACUUUCAAGUUGUUCGCAAUAAUGACAGUCGAGCUAAUUCCCAAAAUGUUGUUUCAGACUCUUUUCCCAGCACUAACACUGGUAAUAACUCCCUUAACAAUAUAGUAUCAAGAUCUCCAAGUCACCCAAAGGUAGUGACUCACAUAGCAACUGCUCAACAAACACGGCAGUCAAAUUCUUCGAAUCUGUUUCCCACAGCCGUUUCUUCGACUAAGCUCAGAUACACAACUCCUAACAUCCAACCAGUUACCACAAAGGUAUCUUCGAGCCAGUCAUCCUCAUCCCCUAUCAAUAUUCCUCUAUCAGAACUGCUACAGCAGAAUGGGGCCAAGAUUUCAACUGUAGCAACUAGUGAAGGCACUAAACUUGUUCUCACACUAAUGCCAAAAACAGUCAGCAGCAUUUCUUCCGUUACUACGUGUGCAUCAUCAUCAUCAUCGUCUAUAAAAUCUGGUACAGUUACUACUUCAGUCAUUACACAGGCAGGUCGUGUUUCAGAAUUGCAGAAGGUUAUUAAUGGCACAAUGUCUUCUCUUGUAAAUUCAACAAACCAAUCUCAUCAGUUACCAUUAAAAGUCUCAGAACCACCUCCCCUAGCACCUGUUUUGAAACAGAAUAAAAUUCAGUCCAGUUCAACAGUUGUUUGUAGAAAUAACAGUCUACCUGCUUUUAGUAACCCACAGUUAAAGCUAUGCACAACAGGUUCUGUGAUUAAACAGUGUUUACCACUUACUCAGACUUUUUCUGAUGAGGUAAAAGCUAAUGUUGACUUUGAGGAUAAAAGAAAUAAUCUUCUUGGUUCCCCACCUGUAGAACAUCAGCUGUGUGCACCAUCAUCAUCAUCGUCAUCUGGCUCAUUAGAAAAACGAGCACUUUAUCUGCAAGUUUCCAAUCCAGUAGUGAGCAAUGUUAUGUCCACUGACACGAGCACACCAAGAAGCACAGUCUUUGUCAUGCCAGGUAGAAAUGCAGCUAAUGUUUUUACCUUGCCAACAACACGCCCUGGAAUGUAUACACUUAAACCUGCAGCAAAACAAGUGUCUGUCAUUAGGUCUUCUUCGCAACAGCUGUCCUCGGAAGUUAGGUCUGCAGAGCUGACGGGCCAGGUUCCCGUUGUACAGCAGUUAUCUGUAGUGAGAAGCCCAUUUUCUCAGCUACCUGUUGUGAACAGUUCACAGGUAGUAAAUCCAGCACCUCAACUUUCUGUUAUGAACAGUCAACAGAUUGUCAGUGGACUAUCUCAGCUUCCUAUAAUAGACAAUCAGCAGAUCAUUAAUGAAAUACCCCAGCUUUCCCUGAUAGAAAACCAACAAAUUGUUAGUGGUGUUCCCCAAAUUUCCCUUGUGGAAAACCAGCAGGUUGUUGGUGGAAUACCACAGAUUUCUGUGGUGAAUGACCAGCAGAUUGUUAGUGGAGUGCCUCAGAUUUCUAUGAUAAAUAACCAAACAGUUGUAAAUCCUGUACCCCAACUAUCUGUUUUAGAUAACACACAGAUGGUGAACACAGUGACAUCUUUACCUGUAGUACACAAUAACACACUUCAGCAACCACCAUACUCUGCCACAGAAACACAAUUGGUACAGUCUCCUGGGGAAGAGAAUAUGUUGACACAGCCAGCUUCCAAUUCCCCUGGUCAACAGUAUUACUUGUUGACCAGCACAGGUCAGCUUUUACAGGUGAGUCCGCAGAAGAAUAACUUUCAACAGGAAGAUAAGAAUCUACAAGAUUGUUAUGGCUCUAGUGGAGUUGCAACAUUAGUGAUGUCUGGUAACGUGUCUCAGAAUUUAACAUAUUUACCUGGAUGACGUAUCCAUCUACUGUAAUAUUGUUUAUAUGUAUUUGGAAUUCACAGUGGUUAACUUGUCUGUGAUGUAAAUUUUCUCAGGAUGAAAGAAAAUUACGAAAGAAUUUCUGUAUUAGAUCCUGUCCUAAAAUUUUUACAAAACCUUGUAAAGAGAUCAGUGUGUUUUAAUUCUUUUAUCUUGCAUGUUUAAUUUUCUUGUGUGAAAAGGUCUAGUAGGCUUCAGUUCAUUUCUCAGGGAAUAUCAAACCCAACAUAAGGUUUCCUAAACAUUUCAAAAGCCUCAGGAUGUUAAUGCAGCAUAGUGAAACAGUCAUAUGUAAGAAAUUGAGUAAACCUCAACAAAAGAAUGAGGUACUUGUAUUUGUUUAAAAAGUGAACCGUUGCUAAAACUUCAAAAACUGUUAGGAUGUAAAUUACAAAACUUUAAGGUUUACAAAGGCUUUUAGCUGUAGUUUUAUCAUUUACAAACUGAAUACACUACAGUGGACCGUUGAUAGGGGUCAGAAAUUCUGUAAAAUGGGUAACAUUUUGACUUUCAAACAAUCAUUAAAUAGAUUGGUAUGUUUGGUUAAAAAAAAAUUAAAUUAAGAAAAUCCAUAAGCCAGAAUGAACAAUAAAAUAUAAACUUAAGUAAGCAUACUCAUAAUCAUAACAUAUACUGAUAUGAAACUAACUGGGUAUACAUGACUACUCGUACUGUAAUCAAAUCUGCAGUUGAACAUAUUGUUAAUUUAGACUUAAAGGUGCUAAUUACUGUAAAAACCUAUUGCUUCAGUAACUUUGAUGCAAAGUUCCUGUUGUUGGUAUGCUAUUUUCCAGCACCAUUUUUUUUUUUCUUAUUUAUUUACCUUUGAGUUUGACCAAUUUUUUUGUUAUUAUUUUAUGGACACUCAUUAUUGCAAGUUAUCUGAAUGAAGUGUGUUACCUGUAUUUAAUUUUCUACUUUGAAAUUAAAGUUAUUAACUUUCUCUAAAGAUGAUACAUCACUUUGAAUUCUACUUUUGAACAGUAAGAUGUUACACUCAUAGAAAAGAAAGCCAUGAUUACUUAGUUUGACCUCUCAAUAUCAUGUGUUAGUUAGAACCCUAAAAAUAGAAUGUGUUACAGUGAUUUGCAUGAACUGUGACUGGUAAUAUAUUGAGCUCUUGCAACACUGGGAGAGAGGAGCUGUAUUUCCUAUGUUCUUAUGUGAUAGUUUAGCUUACAAUUUUUCACUGAAAAUCUUGCUGUAAGCUGUUAAAUUUUUAACUAUACCUUAAAAUAGAUUAUAGAAUAACUUUCAGGCUAUCAGUUUCAAGACUCUGAGGUAGUUUUGCCUGCCAUCUUUAUGCUUAGAUAAGUAGUUUUAUGGUUUUUAACUAGUGGCCUGGAAUACAACACAAAAGAGAGGAGGGCACAGUUGAUUUUUUAAAGUGUUUUUUAAUGAAAAAUGUGGCCCAUUGGUGGUUGUUAUGUGAAUCCAGUAUGUUCACUGUGCUGAAAAACAUUUCUGGUGGUUUCAUGUAUUCUCUUAUCUAAGGUUUUAUAUAAAGAUCACAAAUUUAGCUGUAUUUUAUGGUCUGGUUAACUGUAAUGGCUAAUACUAAAUUUUUAAACAAUAUGAAAAUGUUUUAAAUUACCCAAGUAUUUGGUAUUAAGCAAGUGAAUAUCACAUGAGUAUGGUCUGUUUGCAUUGUUGAAGGUAAUGCCGUAAAAUAUAUGAAUGUUAGUCAUACAUGUAAGAGAUAGUAUUUGAGAACUAACAAAAGUUGAAGUGAAAUUAGGAACAUAAUUCCUUAGAAGAAAUGAGAACUUUUAUUACUGUGAAUUAUUGUACAAAUCAAAGUUUCUCAAACCCCCAAGUCUUCAGUCCAUCAGUUCCAUCCUUGCUUUCAUCAAUACUCGUUAGUUAAGUAAUUCAUAAAAUAUCAUAUAUUCAGGUAGUUAAUAGGAAAAGAAAUCCAUUGCAAUUUUUUUUUUUCUCAAAUAAAAGUUUCAGGACUAAAGAUACAGUAACAUUAGGUAUUUUUACAGUGAUAACCAAUGAACAUCAGUUAAAUUGUUUGCUAGACUGACUGCGUUCUCUAUUUUUUAUUAUAAUUUUGCAUAACUUGUCCUAGUAACCAUUAGUUCUUAAAGAUUGAAGUUUGAUCUACUGAACAGAGAGAGGAAAGUAAUGCAGAUACUUAAAAGCAUUACUUAAUGAGUCCGUUUGGUUUAAAUGCUGAAAUAUAAAAAAAAAAAUGUUAGUGAAGGUAGAAUUAUCUCUUAAAAAAUAAACACACUUGAAUAGAAAUUUCCUUGACCACCAAAAGAGAAAACAAUGGAUAUACAGUCCAGCAGCAUAUUUAAAUAGUGUAGGGUUAGAUAAAAUAAAUAACAUAUACAAGUUUUUAGUGUGUGGGUAUUGUAUAUAUAGAUAUAAUUGUAAUUUUUUAAUGACUUGUAAAAACACUUUAAAACAGUGUAGUGAAAUAACCAAAUUUAACAUUAAAGUUGAUGCAUAUAUUGCAUGUCAGGUUUAUUGUUAUUUGCUCAAGGAUAAAGAUGUGUGAUUUUUUUUUUGAUAGUCAAAUAUAUCUAAUUUAAGGAAUGCUAAGGAUUAGAAAAAUAGAAAAAAAGUUGUACACAAUUUUUUUGUGACAUGUAUGUUUUAGAUAAAACUUACUAAGAAGCAAAUUAAGUAUUUAAACAUUCGUAUUCUGUUCUUGUUUCUCAAAGAUAUAAGCAUUUGAAGUUUCAAAACUUUGGUAUAGCAUAUUUAUUUAGGUCAUUUAUUUGAAAAUAAGACUUGGUUUGGCAUACCUAUUCUUCUUUUGUGACAGUGUAUUGUAUUGAUUUUUAAGCUCAGUAUGAUUAAGACUACUGUAUAGUUUUAUAAACUUAAUGGUAGAAUUCAGCUUAGUGAAUUUCACCACCAAAUUAGUGUGUUAAUCAGCUUUUUCAUGGAAACUUAAUUUUGUGUGCAUACCUUGUUCAAGAGAAAAACUAAAACAUUUGGUAGAACGAUUAAGACUGUUAUUGUUUACAUCUUAUAAUCAGAGUUAACUAUUGACUGUUUUACUAUUUUUAUCCCUUAUGUUGGAAUUUUCUUACCAUCUCUUAAACCCUUUGGCAGGAAAAUGUUUUAAACUUUCAAUGAAAAUUCUUGCACGUUGCUUUUAAAAUUUAAAUGUCACCCAACAUAGCACAAAAUAUUUGCAAAUUAAAGAAAAAAUAUAAAGAAUUAAUACGCUCAUUUUCUGAUAUUUAAUACUGUAUUAUAUUAGGAAAUUGUAUUUGAUAAUUGCUUUCUCUUUGGGGCAUGUUUAAAUUGCAUUUUCCAUUUCAAUGAUAAGGAUUGAUAAUUCAGAAUAGCAGCUACGUGACAUUGUAUGUAUACAGCGAAGCAUGUUUCAUGUUCUACACAAAUAAAGACUAUUUUAUGUUUCUA